rnacentral:lncRNA from 1 species
AAGAAGAAGAAAUAUGAAUAGAGAGUGCUUCUUGGAUCCUGAACUGCAGAGGGUGGGUCCUUCCUCCUCUGCUCCACUGAAGAGCAGGGUGUGGCUGUGCUAGGAAAGAGACUUGGCCCACAGCCUCACAGUGAUUCAGAAGACGCUGGGUGAGGACCUCUGUGUCCCUGCUCCAAGGACCCUGAGAUGACCCAUCCCAGGACACUCAAUCCUGCCUGCAGAUGCUAGGCUCUGAGGAGAUGCCUGCUAUAGCACCAGCACAUUCUGCAGACAUGUUUUGAAAUGUGUUAAUAAAUAACUGGAGAACAGUAUCUAUACAAUUACCUAGAUUUGCCUGAACUUUACAGGGCAACUAAACAAACAGACAUACGUUCGCAGAAAGGCCACAGUACAGAAGACAAACCGAGGCUUGGUCACCCUGAGGAUCAGCAGCCGGAUCUUUUUCUGAAACAAAUUUCCUGCUAGAGAAUCCCUGAUCUCUGUGAUGCAGUAUUUCCCUAGUUUUUAUUUCUACUUCAACGAGGCACCUCAAUGUCAGUUUCCUUUGGGAAAAGAAAAUCAAAUGUCCCCACAGCUUUUGCCCAAUUGUGAAGGAAAAUUUCAGCAUUGAUUGUCUGUCUGGACUCUUGUGGGGAGGAGGCCAGUGGGCCUAGUAAGACCCUUAGCACACCUGGGCUGUCUAGCCUUAAGGAAACCAGACCUGCCAGGAAAGCAGAAAAGCUGUGAAGAGAUUUUUCUCUGCCUUCCUCGGGGGACAAUCUUCCAGAGCAACAAUGCACCAUGUAUUUACAGAAAACUUAUUAUGUUCAAGGUGCUGGGAGAAGCUAGUUGCAGAUACUUAGAGCAGUAAGGCUUUAAGUUAGACAUAAGGAAGGACUUCCAGCUAUUGGUAUUGAUAUAGUAGGACCCAAGCUUACUUCACAGCUUGCAUCAUCAGGGAAGGAUGAGAUCAUUCUUGAGAACAUUUUGAAUAAAGGCUUAGAGGGACUGAAUAUUGAACGAUCCUGUUAACAUUUCUCCCGGUCCUCCUCCUGCUUUCCAGGAUGAUACUGGUGUAUGAUUUUUACUUAAAGCCCUCCCCCAUCCCCACAGAGACACCUGGAGCCUGGCGGGCCUUGGCAUCAGUGGCUGUUGUCAUGGCGGGGAGAGCUGAGGUGACCACUGUGACUGCCCUGGGCACAAGGACCGUCGUUCUGUGAAUCCUCCCUAAGCCCGCUGGCGGGGCCCCUUUGCUGCCACUGCAAGUAAAGUUUCCCAGCUCAAGUAAAUUCUGGAGGGGAUUGACCUAAUUUCCAGAGUCUAAGGGGUGACAAAAAGCCCCAGUCAAAACUCCUGUAAGUGGGUGAUAAACAGUCUCUAUUAGAAAAAAUAAAUAACAUCUCCAAAGGAGAGCAGGCUUCCUAAGACCCCCUUGCCUUUCAGAGAGACAGCUGUCUCCUGGGAGGAGGACUCCCUGAGCCUCCCGCUUCAGCCGCUCCAGAGGAAAGGUUUGCCUUGCUGUCUCACUGCAGCGCUAGCUGCUCACCAUUUUCACCGACCGCCGCAGCCUCCUGAUGGACCCCACAGCAGGAAGAGGCUGUGGGAGAGGUCUCCACCCUUCAAGGUGGGGCUGACAGUGGUGCUUGGCCUUUAGAGUUGAAAUGUAUUGGUUCUCUGCCUUGGGAGGAACAAUCACUCUCUCUCUCUCUGUCUCUCUCUAUUUCUGUCUGUCUCUCUCUCAAACACACAUACACAUACACUGAGACAGCUAUCAUCAUACCUAAUUUACAUAUUAUGGAAACCGAGGCCCAGAGAGGUUAAAUAACUUGCGUGGUUUUGUCCAGCUAUUAAGUGGGCAAAGCUAGAAUUAGAAUUGAAGCCCAGUGACAGCUUUCAAAUCAAGUUCUUUCCCCUAUUCUGGAGCUGCAGCAACUUUAAUAAGCAUAAGAAGUACUUUGGGAUCUUGUUCAAAUGCAAGUUCUGCAGGUCUAGGGUGGGGUGGAGAUUCUGCAUUUGCAGUAAGUUCCCAAGUAGCAGGGUGUGCUACAAACACCUCAAAGCUGCAGACCCUGGGGAACAGUCCCCAUAGAAUAGGAGGCGGGAAUCAUUCUGGAAAAUAGGGAGACAUAAAUACCCAGACAAGCUUAGGUCUCCAAGGAGGCAGGGAGAUCAGGAGUGGGAGGAAAGGGCAGUCUGUCUCUCUUUCCUUAGAAGACUUCGUGGUUUGAACAUUGCCUUGGUUAGAUUUCCUGAUAUGGGUACAACUUGUGCUGAUCUCAGUGGGAAUCUGGAGCCAGAGAUGACCAGGAAUAGAGGGGGAUAACAUCUGCCAAGUUCCAUUCCUGGUUCAAAAUUCUAACUUGCCAGCUUGUUCAUUCAUCUAAUGACUCAGACCUGAUGGCAGAUUGAAUUUUCCAAAAAUGACUGCAACAAUAUCUUCCAUCCCACAUGUUAUUCUUACAGUGGGACUUUCCAUCUAGAGGUAGGACCUGUAUUUCUUCCCCAUGAAUCUGAGUGGAUGUGCAGUUAUAGUUGAAGUGAUGCUAUGGGACUUCAGAGGCUAGGUCAUAAAAGGCAAUACAUUAGGCCGAGCAUGAUGGCUCACACCUGUAAUCCCAACGCUUCGGGAGGCUGAGGCGGGUGGAUCACCUGAGGUUGGGAGUUCAAGACCAGCCUGACCAACCUGGAGAAACCCCGUCUCUACUAAAAAUACAGAAUUAGCUGGGCAUGGUGGCACAUGCCUGUAAUCCCAGCCACUCAGGAGACUGAGACAGGAGAAUCACUUGAACCUGGGAGGCGGAA